GGCACGAUGGCCGAGCGGUCUAAGGCGCUGGAAUCAGGCCCACUGAGAUAUCCAGUCCGAAAGGGCGUGAGUUCGAAUCUCACUCGUGUCA